UAUCUAUUCAAAUUUUAACACUCUUUUCAGACUUUUUUUCAUCUCAAAUGAACUUCUAAUGGUGGAAAAUUUGGCCCUGAUAAAAUCAACAUUGCACAAAAUAUUACUUUCCUACUAUAAUCAGGAAACAACACUACAUUUACAUGUAGUUGCAGUAAGAAGUAUGCCAAAGAAAUAUUGUGUAUUUUUAUGUCCCCACUUUAGCGCAGAGGGCAUUAAGUUUUAUUAUUAUAUCUUACAUAUAUUUUAAACAAUUCUAUUAGUUGAAACGUUGUUACAUGAUAUGGAAUAAUUCAGUUGUUUUUCAUUCAAUUGCAAGGAAGGACAAAUAACCCUAUUAUUCACCGGCAAAUAACCUUUUGAGUUUGUUGAUUAGUGCUUGAGUUAUCUCCCAUGAAAAUGACGUCACAGAUGUAAAUAAACAAAAUGGCAGCGUUCACGUUAGACUGGAAGCCCAUUGAGAGACGAGAAAAUAGGGCAUUGGACAUGAACAGAGUGCCAGCAACUGAUGAUAUCUCUUAUAAAGUAACGGUCCUUUUCAGGGCCAUCAAUAUUUUACAAAAAGAUUCUACCUUUGUUGUACAUUCGAGAAAUUCUAGAACACAAAUGUAUUUUCAAAUGUCAGCUUGUCUUUGUUAUCUAAAGUUAAAAGAAUAUAGAAAGUUAUCAAAAGACCUUUCCAUUGUUAGUUCGGUAUAAUAAAACAAGUGGGGCCCCUGAGAAUCGAUGAAUAUCCAAAUUGUCAACCCUUAAAAGUUAUUUCACCUGGGGUUGUGCCCUCAUUGAAAUAACCUUCUCAUGUUGACAAUUUUGGAUAUUCACCUUUUCAACGGCCAUAAUUGUAUAGUGUUGUUCAUCUGUUCGUUGAUUAUUUUAUAUAGUUACAUCCCAAAAAUGGUUUUCAUUCUCUAACUUAAGAUUUCCACGAC
rnacentral:lncRNA from 1 species